ensembl:lncRNA
GUUCAGGCCAAGACUCUUUUCGAACAUGUGAAGUUUGGGGAAGAUCGGACAUCUUAUGCCUGAGUUACAACAACUUCUAUUCCGAUGGCGAGAUAUCGACAUUUGUCACGGCACCAUGGACACACCGUUUAAUGAAAACUCAACAUGUUCACAAUUUAACAUCAUAAAGGCCUUUAGAUUAGACUGACCAAAAAAAAUUAUAAAGUGUCAUAAAAUUUCUAGGAGUAGUUCGUUACAGCGUAAAACAUGUCACUUCCUGUUGCCAGCAGGUGGUGCUAUGGCUAUAACUGAAUUUGGGCAUGUAGAUAUGUUCAGGUCAGGAGUCUUCUCAAACAUGUGAAGUUUGAGGCAGAUUGGACAUUGUAUGUCUGAGUUAUAACAACUUCCUUUCUCAUGGCGAAACAUCGAUAUUUAUAAGGCCGCCAGAGACACGCCCUUCAACUAAACCUCAAGAUCUUCGCAAUUUAACAUCGCAAAGGCCUUUAGAUUACACUGACAAAGUUUGGUGUUGAUCUGAAUAAAUCUCUAGGAGGAGUUCGUUAAAGUACAACCCCUGAAAAUGUCAAAAACGACACAAAUUUUGCAGAGAAAAUUCAAAAUAACUGACUUCCUGUUGGGAUUCGAAUUUCGUACCAAGAGACUUUUUUGUAGGUAUUGGUGUGUUACAUGUGUGUACCGAUUUUUGUACAUGUACGUGAAACGUAGCUCGAGGCGCACUCCGUUGAAAAUGUAUAGGUGGCGCUAUCGAGACAUUUUUCCACACCCAAUGGAAUAUUGGCCUUCAGAUGUGUUCAGGCCAGGACUCUUAUCGAACAUGUGAAGUUUGGGCAAGAUCGGACAUUUUAUGCCUGAGUUACAAUAACUUUUAUUCCCAUGGCGAGACAUCAAACUUUGUGACGGCGCCAUGGACACGCCCUUUAACGAAAACUCAAGAUCUUCACAAUUUAACAUCGCACAGGCCUUUAGAAUAGAGUGACUGAAAAAAAAAAAUUAUGUCAUAAAAUUUCUCGGGGUAGUUUGUUACAGUGUAAAAUAUGUCACUUCCUGUUGCCAGUAGGUGGCGCUAUGACUAUAACUGAAUAUGGGCAUAUCAAUCUGUUCAGGUCAGGAGUCUUAUCAAACAUGUGAAGUUUGUGGCAGAUUGGACAUUGUAUGUCUGAGUUAUAGCAACUUCAUUUUUCAUGGCGAAUCAUCGAAAUUCGUCAGGCCGCCACGGACACGCCCUUCAACGAAAACUCAAGAUCUUCGCAAUUUAACAUCGCAAAGGCCUUUAGAUUAGGCAUACCAAAUUUGGUGUUGAUCUAAAAAAAUCUCUAGGAGGAGUUCGUUAAAAUACAAGGCAUGCAAAUGACAAAAAUGAUGCAAAAUUUGCUCAUAAAAUUAAAAAUAACCGACUUCCUGUUGGGUUUCGG